UGAGGUGCUUGCACCUUAUCUUAGCGGCGGACGGGUGAGUAAUGCUUAGGAAUCUGCCUAUUAGUGGGGGACAACAUUCCGAAAGGAAUGCUAAUACCGCAUACGCCCUACGGGGGAAAGCAGGGGAUCUUCGGACCUUGCGCUAAUAGAUGAGCCUAAGUCGGAUUAGCUAGUUGGUGGGGUAAAGGCCUACCAAGGCGACGAUCUGUAGCGGGUCUGAGAGGAUGAUCCGCCACACUGGGACUGAGACACGGCCCAGACUCCUACGGGAGGCAGCAGUGGGGAAUAUUGGACAAUGGGCGGAAGCCUGAUCCAGCCAUGCCGCGUGUGUGAAGAAGGCCUUUUGGUUGUAAAGCACUUUAAGCGAGGAGGAGGCUACUUAGAUUAAUACUCUAGGAUAGUGGACGUUACUCGCAGAAUAAGCACCGGCUAACUCUGUGCCAGCAGCCGCGGUAAUACAGAGGGUGCGAGCGUUAAUCGGAUUUACUGGGCGUAAAGCGUGCGUAGGCGGCUGAUUAAGUCGGAUGUGAAAUCCCUGAGCUUAACUUAGGAAUUGCAUUCGAUACUGGUCAGCUAGAGUAUGGGAGAGGAUGGUAGAAUUCCAGGUGUAGCGGUGAAAUGCGUAGAGAUCUGGAGGAAUACCGAUGGCGAAGGCAGCCAUCUGGCCUAAUACUGACGCUGAGGUACGAAAGCAUGGGGAGCAAACAGGAUUAGAUACCCUGGUAGUCCAUGCCGUAAACGAUGUCUACUAGCCGUUGGGGCCUUUGAGGCUUUAGUGGCGCAGCUAACGCGAUAAGUAGACCGCCUGGGGAGUACGGUCGCAAGACUAAAACUCAAAUGAAUUGACGGGGGCCCGCACAAGCGGUGGAGCAUGUGGUUUAAUUCGA
rnacentral:rRNA from 1 species